AGAGUUUGAUCCUGGCUCAGAACGAACGUUGGCGGCAUGGAUUAGGCAUGCAAGUCGAGGGAAUCCGCCGCAAGGCGGGGAACCGGCGUAAGGGGCAGUAAGGCAUGGGUACCUACCCCGGGGUUCGGAAUAGCCACCAGAGAUGGUGGGUAAUACCGGAUGACCUCGUGAGAGCAAAGAUUUAUCGCCCUGGGAGGGGCCCAUGUGAUAUUAGCUAGUUGGUGAGGUAACGGCUCACCAAGGCUAAGAUGUCUAGCGGGUGUGAGAGCACGACCCGCGCCACUCGCACUGAGACACUGGCGAGACACCUACGGGUGGCUGCAGUCGAGGAUCUUCGGCAAUGGGGGCAACCCUGACCGAGCGAUGCCGCGUGCGCGAUGAAGGCCUUCGGGUUGUAAAGCGCGAAAGAGGGGAGAAAAGCCCGAAAGGGUUUGAUCUAUCCUCAGUAAGCUCGGGCUAAGUUCGUGCCAGCAGCCGCGGUAAGACGAACCGAGCGAACGUUGUUCGGAAUCACUGGGCUUAAAGGGCGCGUAGGCGGGCUGCCAAGUCUGGGGUGAAAUCCCGCGGCUCAACCGUGGAACUGCCUCAGAUACUGGCGGCCUCGAGGGAGAUAGGGGCGAGCGGAACUAAUGGUGGAGCGGUGAAAUGCGUUGAUAUCAUUAGGAACUCCGGUGGCGAAGGCGGCUCGCUGGAUCUUUUCUGACGCUGAGGCGCGAAAGCUAGGGGAGCAAACGGGAUUAGAUACCCCGGUAGUCCUAGCCCUAAACGUUGGGUACUAGGUAGUAGGCUAGACAUGGGUU
rnacentral:rRNA from 1 species